rnacentral:lncRNA from 1 species
CACCUGGGCUCAUCCCAUCUCCCAGGUCUGCCCUCAGUGUUCUACCUGGCUGAGAUGCUCCAAUGACGCCCGAGAUGAGAGCAGCCUGGCGUAGCUGCUACAACUGGGGGAUUCUCGGUUCUUUCUGGACACCGGUGUCUCAAGUUCCAAGGCCAGCUCUUCUGAGGCGAAGGUGGACCCCUCUCUGAGUCCCACACUGAAGUAGGCUUUUGUAGCCUGGAAACAUCCAAAGCAACAGAAGAACAUUCUACCCAGGGAAUAGUUGCAAUGGCUUGAGAAGACUACUUCCAAGUUCUCACAGCCUUGACCCCACCUGUGGUCAAGGUGAUGUGCACUGCUAGUUCUGGGAUUGGGAUCUGAUACCUCCCCUUCCCCACCCCCGAUAUGAGAGUAGCAGAGAAACCCAUCUUCAUACCCAAAAGAGACUCAUUCUGACCUCUGCUCCCAACUCUCUAACCAUAUCUGAAUGACCUCAGUU